GUGAGUCCACCGUGUGAAAAGUCAGAGAGUGAUGAGUCUCCUUGCUGACACAAAUCGUGGCCUCGCCGCCGCCAAUGUCUCCGCUCCGGCGACGCCAUCUUCGCCGGGCGAAGCCCACGCCCACGCCCACCCUCAAGCGGAAGCGGGCCGCGCCGGCCGUCGCCCAAGACCCCGACCAAGGCCGAGCCCACGCGGCAGAGGCGGAGGACUGCCGCGUGUGCUCCGGCGCCGGCGGCGGGUCAUGGUGGAGUGCCUCGGUGGGUUCCACCUGCGGUGCGUGCGCCCGCUGCUGCAGCGUGUGCCGGAGGGGGACUGCGAGGCCGAGCGUGAUGUCUCCGGCCCAAGCCUGAAGCCGCCCGUGGGGGAAGAGAUCUCUAUUUCAUGGCCGUCGUGAUGAUGGCAAGAAAAUUGGAAAGCAAGCAAACCAGCCAAUUGUUUUGCUCAUCAACGACCUUGACCUCCUUUUGACAAGAAAUCAGUCGGUCCUGUAUAACAUUCUUGAUUGGCCCAUCAAGCCAAAUUCAAACCUAGUUACCAUAGGUACCUAUCAAAGAUUAAAAUCGCAGGCGAAACUACAGCUUCUUCGCCGAAAACCGGCGGCGGUGACCAAGGAUCCGGCAAGCUGGAGAUAGUGACGGGCGAGGCUGCAAGGUGACGUGACGAGCGAGAAGUCCACGAUGUCAUCUCCAACUCCCAGUACGCCUGCAGAUACAGGCAAGCCCUCUGUGUUGAACUGGUGCAGACCUUAAUGGACGUGGUGUUGUGGAAUUGGUGAUGCUUCUUUUUGUUGAACUGUGACGAUGUGACCUUUGCCGUAGCUCAAGGAGUCCCCACAUCUUCCUUGGCAGUCCAAGUCCAAGUACCUCUAAAUCUCAUACCUGCAGUGCAGUGGCCAAAUGUCCAAGCACCCAAGCCCUGUCUACAUGUAUGUAUAGUAAGUUCACUUCCUCUGUUUCUGUUUCCCACCUUAUACUCAAGUUUGCCGUUGUGGCCAUAUUGUUCCGUUUCCAGUGAUGAGCGUUAUAUUGGGAAACUAAGAAGCUCCAGACAAGGCAAACACAACACACUAGAAAAUUCCGAGAAUGCGGCAAACACCAACAUGCAAGAAAAUUCUGAGACAACUAGUUCAUCGCCACCGUCGCCGGAUUACCCAUGUUGAUGUGUGUAUCCUAACUACGUAUAGGCUGGAUGCGUGAUCAUUGGUUUUGUAACCCCUCAUAGUCAUUUAUAAAGGUUGUUGAUGUUUUUUUUUUGAAGGGAAAAUCACUUGGCACUUUAUUGCGAGUUUAGGAGUAUAGCAUCCUGUAGUACAUGCGGGAUCAGGAAGCUAGCGGGAUCAUCGGCCCAAUUAUACAUCAAAUUUGAAUCACACGCAUGUCUAGCUAAGAAAUGUGCCAAGCCAUUAGCUUCCCUUGGGCAGUGCUGAAAACAGAUUGAAUUUCCUCUUCGCCGUUUGUUAAACCUUAGGCAACUGUAUAUUUCCUAAUAGAGCUGGUACAUCGGAGAGAUCAUGCUGGCCCAGGUUCAUUUUUUUCCGCUGGAAAGGAGGUUGGGUGAUAGCAAGUAGAAUGGUGGGCUCGCCCCCUUCCGCUCCUAAAUAGGCCAAGCCUGACAACACAACAGAGUUUUUCUAUUUUUUAUUUCCUUUUCUUAUAUAUCUAUAAUUCAAAAUUGGCUAAAUCCAUAUGCAUUUUGAAAAAAAUGUUAAAAUAUUACAUAACCUGGUUCAAAUAAAGUUGCAAAAAAUAAAUCAAUGUAAGUUCGUAAAAUGUGUUCUGGUAUUUUAGAAAAUGUUCAUUAAAUUUAGAAACAUAGUGUUUACAAUUCUUUUCUCUAAAUGUUCAUGUGAUUUAAAAAAAUGUUCAUGUAUAUAUUUUUUUAAAAGGUCAUGUAAUUUAGAAAAUAUUCACACAUUAUCAAAUAAUGUUAACUCUAUUAUAUAUUUCAAAUUAUAUUCAUGCAUUAUUAAAUAAUGUUCACUUAAUUAAAAGCCAUUUCAAAAAAAUUAUCAUCAUUUAUUUAAAAUAAAUGAUGUGUGUAGUCCCAGCCUGUGCAUCGUUUAGCUUCAACAAGGCAUUAGCUUCAGUCUAGUUUGACUUUAGUAGUUGCCGGUGUGAUUUCGCAUGUGGAUGCUGGUGUUGCUGUGUGUAUCCUGACUACUAAUUUCUCCUAACUUACACAUACCUUUCGUAGAAAUCCUUCUUUUGUUAACUUGUAUAGUUAUUCUCUGCAUGGUUCUUUGCUAUAGUAUGUUCAUCAAACAAGAAUAUAUAUCAUUCAUACCAAUCCAGGAUCUUGUUGUACGACACUUCAAAAAGUUUCCUUUCCACAAAUUAAAAACAGAAUAUUUCAGAUGCAAUAAUGUGUACUGUAUUGCAAAUUCUUGUGCAGAAACAAAUAUGGCAUAUAGCUAAUGAAGAAUAGAAAAAAAAAUCAUCACCCCAAAAAAAUUUACAAGGGGCCCUCCAGAUAGGGUGAUCGUGCCCACCAAGAAUAGGGCUGCCAGGUUGGCGAGGAGCACCACUAGGAUCCACCAGAGCACGCCGGAUCUCCCUUCCAGUCGACGCCUAGAGAAGUAUCACAGAAGGUAGAAGGUUCCAGCCGUUUUGGCGGGCAUUGUGUUGCAUGCGAGAAGAGUAACUAGUUAGGUAAUAUCUCCAAGAGAUCCAAGGUGGUGUGAACUAUGAAGAAGAAAGGAAUGUGUGAACAUUGAACUUUGGAGGAGCUCGAUGUUGUGGAGAGGCCCAACGAUACAACUCGCUCUACCUGGUGAACGAGGUAGCAAUUAAUAUAGGUGUAUGUAUGUGGCGUGGUGGGGGGCAUAUGCCCUCCUGGCCCAUAUGUAGCGGAUAUGAAAAUUCUCACAUAGUGGGGCAUUGCGCUCAUGGGAUGGAGUAGAUAUGGCUUCUAACAAUGUGACCUCCUUCAACACCUCGAAUCUUGUGGAGAACACAUCAAAAUCACGCCCUUGAGACAAGGCAAGCACGCGGCAAACCCACACAAGAAGCCUAGGCGUUGCUUGCAAGGCCACGCCAUGCAUGUCUUGGAUGAUAGGACAUGCCGAAGAUAGGAGAAUGCAUGCGGAUCUAGAGACAGAAGAAGUGUACGCUCUCAUGAAGCUGCAGCCGUUGAACCUAGAGCAGAUCUUCCACGAACCGCUCGCUGAGAUGGGCAUCGUGAACAAGCCAGUGAAUUACUAUUGGAAGACGAUGACGAAUAGCGAUGUCAAUACUAGCCGGGGGUGGUCUGUGCCCCGCGAUGUAGCUGAGCGCUUGUUCCCGCCUCUGGUAUAACCUUCUCCACUUCUCACCCUCUCUGUGACCUUUUGAUGUUACUAGUAAGAUUUAUUUUGUGUCAGGAUUUCACACAGACACAGCAGCAGGACCUAUUUGUGUGCGACAUUCAUGAUGUUCAAGCACUGGUGCCGAGGCAGGUUUCAACAACAUGCCUCCAUUCUUUGUGUUUUUUACAUUGGCCUAAUGAGGUUUGCGUUUUUUUUACCAAAAUGGCACCGUUGUUCGCUCAAAUUACAAAGAAAAUACCCCUCCCAGGUCCCAGCCCGCGUCACCCCAUUCUUUCUGUUUCUUACAUUGGCCUAAUGAGGUUUGCGUUUACAUCAUUUACUGAACAAUAUACCAUAGUAAGUUUCAGAGUACACAAGACCACAUGGACAUAACGCAGAGACCAUGAACAUCACUCCUAGUAGUAUUUGACAGCAACCAAAUGAGCAUCUAAACAUCAAAACUCAGGUCCUUUCUUGGUCUCCAAGUCCUUUUUGUAUGCUGCCAGGUUGAAAAUUGUUUGAGAAAUUCUUGUUGAUCAAGAGAAAGUUAGAAUUAUUCAGAUAUGUUCACUACAGAAGUUGACCUUUUACUUUAUACUUGAAUUCGGAUCACAACAUAACAAAGUAUAGGUUUUA